rnacentral:rRNA from 1 species
GGGGAAUAUUGCACAAUGGGGGAAACCCUGAUGCAGCAACGCCGCGUGAAGGAAGACGGUUUUCGGAUUGUAAACUUCUAUCAAUAGGGACGAAAGAAAUGACGGUACCUAAAUAAGAAGCCCCGGCUAACUACGUGCCAGCAGCCGCGGUAAUACGUAGGGGGCAAGCGUUAUCCGGAAUUACUGGGUGUAAAGGGUGAGUAGGCGGCAUGGCAAGUAAGAUGUGAAAGCCCGAGGCUUAACCUCGGGAUUGCAUUUUAAACUGCUAAGCUAGAGUACAGGAGAGGAAAGCGGAAUUCCUAGUGUAGCGGUGAAAUGCGUAGAUAUUAGGAAGAACACCAGUGGCGAAGGCGGCUUUCUGGACUGGAAACUGACGCUGAGGCACGAAAGCGUGGGGAGCGAAC